CCUACGGGGGGCUGCAGUGGGGAAUAUUGGACAAUGGGGGGAACCCUGAUCCAGCCAUGCCGCGUGUGUGAAGAAGGCCCUCGGGUUGUAAAGCACUUUCAGUGAGGAAGAACGCCUGGUGGUUAAUACCCAUCAGGAAAGACAUCACUCACAGAAGAAGCACCGGCUAACUCCGUGCCAGCAGCCGCGGUAAUACGGAGGGUGCGAGCGUUAAUCGGAAUUACUGGGCGUAAAGCGCGCGUAGGUGGCUUGAUAAGCCGGUUGUGAAAGCCCCGGGCUCAACCUGGGAACGGCAUCCGGAACUGUCAAGCUAGAGUGCAGGAGAGGAAGGUAGAAUUCCCGGUGUAGCGGUGAAAUGCGUAGAGAUCGGGAGGAAUACCAGUGGCGAAGGCGGCCUUCUGGACUGACACUGACACUGAGGUGCGAAAGCGUGGGUAGCAAACAGGAUUAGAUACCCCUGUAGU
rnacentral:rRNA from 1 species